rnacentral:lncRNA from 1 species
UCUUUGAUCUAUAGGAACAUAAGUUCACCUAAGGAGAAAGAUCCAUAAGCAGGGUACAUCUGUUUUCCCAAAUCAGUCCAGGUUUUCCAUGUAAUUAUUAACAGCAUUCCUUUCCUCCUCAAAGGUGUGACUGGUGGACAGUGAGUUACAUGGUCACCCUGCCCACGAGGGAGAGAUGCCUGUGCAUGGUUAAACACCUGGCCAUAUGAGAGAUGGUGUUACUCUCAUAUGGAGGAUCCUAGAGGAUGUUGUAUAUCACAGAAAACCCACUAUACUGCUGGCCUUUAGACAAGAAAUUGAAAAUGCAUGUGCAGCAAUCUCAGUGACCAAGAUUACCAAGCAGCAGUUUGCUGUACUAAUAAAUGUCUAGAAGGCAAUGGUAACCACUUUGAGCACCUCUUUGAAUUGUAGAGGCCAAAGUUGGAGACAGUAGUUAUUUUAAACUAGAAAGAAACGUAGAGAAUUGGAUUAUGAUAAUAGCAACAAAGAGGGAAGUCACUCUUCAUACCUUCAUCUAAACUAUACCGUAUCUCUGGAUGCAUAAAAGUUAAUCAAGGGUUGCGGCCACAUUUAAAAAUGAGAUUUUGGAUUGCCAACUGGCAAGAGGCAUUUCCAAUGGAAGGAAUGUUUGCUUCUGGAUCCAGUGGUUUUAUCAAAAAUGAGAUAAUUGCAGAACAAAAGGAAGGCAACAGGGAGUUGGAUCUUGGGAAGGCAGAAAAAGAAUGUGUUUCAAAGCAGGGUGAGUGCUAGAUAAAUAUCCAUUCUUAAUUGCAGGCAUAGAUAAAUAAUAACAGAAAUAUUUCUUGGACAUACCCUUAU